GCCUGGCUACCUCAGUCGGUAGAGCAUGAGACUCUUAGUCUCAGGGUUGUGGGUUUUGAGCCCCACGUUAGGGU
rnacentral:tRNA from 1 species